rnacentral:rRNA from 1 species
AGAGUUUGAUCCUGGCUCAGGAUGAACGCUAGCGACAGGCUUAACACAUGCAAGUCGAGGGGCAGCGGGGUAGUGCUUGCACUACUGCCGGCGACCGGCGCACGGGUGAGUAACACGUAUGGAACCUGCCCGCAGCAGGGGGAUAAGCGGAAGAAAUUCCGUCUAAUACCGCGUAAGAACGUUGGGAGGCAUCUCCCGAUGUUUAAAGAUUCAUCGGCUGCGGAUGGCCAUGCGGCGCAUUAGCUAGUCGGCGGGGUAACGGCCCACCGAGGCGACGAUGCGUAGGGGUUCUGAGAGGAAGGUCCCCCACACUGGUACUGAGACACGGACCAGACUCCUACGGGAGGCAGCAGUGAGGAAUAUUGGUCAAUGGCCGAGAGGCUGAACCAGCCAAGUCGCGUGAGGGAAGACGGCCCUACGGGUUGUAAACCUCUUUUGUCGGGGAGCAAAGCGAACCACGUGUGGUUCAUUGAGAGUACCCGAAGAAAAAGCAUCGGCUAACUCCGUGCCAGCAGCCGCGGUAAUACGGAGGAUGCGAGCGUUAUCCGGAUUUAUUGGGUUUAAAGGGUGCGCAGGCGGAGGUGCAAGUCAGCGGUCAAAUUGCGGGGCUCAACCCCGUACUGCCGUUGAAACUGCAUCCCUUGAGUGCGCGAGAAGUAUGCGGAAUGCGUGGUGUAGCGGUGAAAUGCAUAGAUAUCACGCAGAAACUCCGAUUGCGAAGGCAGCAUACCGGCGCGCAACUGACGCUCAUGCACGAAAGCGUGGGUAUCGAACAGGAUUAGAUACCCUGGUAGUCCACGCAGUAAACGAUGAACACUAACUGUUCGGCCAGAAUGAUGGCUGAGUGGUACAGCGAAAGCGUUAAGUGUUCCACCUGGGGAGUACGCCGGCAACGGUGAAACUCAAAGGAAUUGACGGGGGCCCGCACAAGCGGAGGAACAUGUGGUUUAAUUCGAUGAUACGCGAGGAACCUUACCCGGGCUCAAACGACACAGGAAUACUUUUGAAAGGAGGUAGCCCUACGGGGUCUGUGUCGAGGUGCUGCAUGGUUGUCGUCAGCUCGUGCCGUGAGGUGUCGGCUUAAGUGCCAUAACGAGCGCAACCCCUAUCGCCAGUUACCAUCAAGUAAAGUUGGGGACUCUGGCGAGACUGCCGGCGCAAGCUGAGAGGAAGGCGGGGAUGACGUCAAAUCAGCACGGCCCUUACGUCCGGGGCGACACACGUGUUACAAUGGCAGGUACAGAGAGAAGCCAGGUGGUGACACCGAGCGGAACUCGAAAGCCUGUCUCAGUUCGGAUCGGAGUCUGCAACCCGACUCCGUGAAGCUGGAUUCGCUAGUAAUCGCGCAUCAGCCAUGGCGCGGUGAAUACGUUCCCGGGCCUUGCACUCACCGCCCGUCA